rnacentral:rRNA from 1 species
UACGUAGGGGGCAAGCGUUGUCCGGAAUCACUGGGCGUAAAGCGCGCGCAGGCGGCUGUCUACGUCCGGGGUGAAAGCCCAGAGCUCAACUCUGGGACUGCCUUGGAUACGGGAUGGCUUGAGGAUCGGAGAGGCAAGGGGAAUUCCGCGUGUAGCAGUGAAAUGCGUAGAUAUGCGGAGGAACACCGAUGGCGAAGGCAAUCCCCUGGACCUGUACUGACGCUCAUGCACGAAAGCGUGGGGAGCAAACAGG